AUAUUUAUAAUUAGUGCAAUUAGUAUAACGGGAACGAUUCAGAGAUGAUUAGCAUGGCUCCUACAUAAGGAUGACACGUACAAAUCGAGAAAUAGUUGAAAAUAAU